rnacentral:rRNA from 1 species
UGGCUCAGGAUGAGCGCUAGCUACAGGCUUAACACAUGCAAGUCGAGGGGCAGCAUGGUCUUAGCUUGCUAAGGCCGAUGGCGACCGGCGCACGGGUGAGUAACACGUAUCCAACCUGCCGUCUACUCUUGGACAGCCUUCUGAAAGGAAGAUUAAUACAAGAUGGCAUCAUGAGUCCGCAUGUUCACAUGAUUAAAGGUAUUCCGGUAGACGAUGGGGAUGCGUUCCAUUAGAUAGUAGGCGGGGUAACGGCCCACCUAGUCUUCGAUGGAUAGGGGUUCUGAGAGGAAGGUCCCCCACAUUGGAACUGAGACACGGUCCAAACUCCUACGGGAGGCAGCAGUGAGGAAUAUUGGUCAAUGGGCGCAGGCCUGAACCAGCCAAGUAGCGUGAAGGAUGACUGCCCUAUGGGUUGUAAACUUCUUUUAUAAAGGAAUAAAGUCGGGUAUGGAUACCCGUUUGCAUGUACUUUAUGAAUAAGGAUCGGCUAACUCCGUGCCAGCAGCCGCGGUAAUACGGAGGAUCCGAGCGUUAUCCGGAUUUAUUGGGUUUAAAGGGAGCGUAGAUGGAUGUUUAAGUCAGUUGUGAAAGUUUGCGGCUCAACCGUAAAAUUGCAGUUGAUACUGGAUAUCUUGAGUGCAGUUGAGGCAGGCGGAAUUCGUGGUGUAGCGGUGAAAUGCUUAGAUAUCACGAAGAACUCCGAUUGCGAAGGCAGCCUGCUAAGCUGCAACUGACAUUGAGGCUCGAAAGUGUGGGUAUCAAACAGGAUUAGAUACCCUGGUAGUCCACACGGUAAACGAUGAAUACUCGCUGUUUGCGAUAUACUGCAAGCGGCCAAGCGAAAGCGUUAAGUAUUCCACCUGGGGAGUACGCCGGCAACGGUGAAACUCAAAGGAAUUGACGGGGGCCCGCACAAGCGGAGGAACAUGUGGUUUAAUUCGAUGAUACGCGAGGAACCUUACCCGGGCUUAAAUUGCAGAUGAAUUACGGUGAAAGCCGUAAGCCGCAAGGCAUCUGUGAAGGUGCUGCAUGGUUGUCGUCAGCUCGUGCCGUGAGGUGUCGGCUUAAGUGCCAUAACGAGCGCAACCCUUGUUGUCAGUUACUAACAGGUUCCGCUGAGGACUCUGACAAGACUGCCAUCGUAAGAUGUGAGGAAGGUGGGGAUGACGUCAAAUCAGCACGGCCCUUACGUCCGGGGCUACACACGUGUUACAAUGGGGGGUACAGAGGGCCGCUACCACGCGAGUGGAUGCCAAUCCCAAAAACCUCUCUCAGUUCGGACUGGAGUCUGCAACCCGACUCCACGAAGCUGGAUUCGCUAGUAAUCGCGCAUCAGCCACGGCGCGGUGAAUACGUUCCCGGGCCUUGUACACACCGCCCGUCAAGCCAUGGGAGCCGGGGGUACCUGAAGUGCGUAACCGCGAGGAGCGCCCUAGGGUAAAACU